rnacentral:lncRNA from 1 species
AGACUGAAUUCAAUGUUCUGCCUUGCCAGUUCACGCUCGCACACCACUAAAUAUGAUUUGCAUUCUCAUUUCACAGAUGAAACUGCGUCCCGUGAAGAGAAUAGACACAGACGGUGGAGGUUUUGAAGGCUCCCAUAGACUGGAGAGUCGCCACGGUGGCUUUGCUGCGCACGCGGCCUUCCUUCAGCUGCUCAACAGUCCGUGGCCACAGCUGCCUGGCUGCUCGUCCAAUCGGAGGCGGCUCCGGAGUCGAGCACGCGGCCCCUCCAGCCCGUGGAGCCGUGCUGUCGUAGCAGAUGCACGAGGGGGACCUGGCGUUGUCCCGCUGAAAUGUCCAGCCAAGGGAGAGAUGCCGAUCUUUCUACUUCACACAUACAGCAUUUGCUAGUCCCGCAGAUGUGUCAUGUACAGAAAAAGAUGGGUCAAGUGGAGACCGGACGUCGAUCCGAGCAUCGGCCCGAGCAGCGGCGGCGGCGGCGUCGGCGGCAGCAGCGACAGCAUUCCCGAUCCAUCGACCGGCGGCGCCGCGCGGUGGAAUCAGCACAAAGUUUGACUGGAAAUCCAUACGCAUCCAUCCGCAGGCACC